rnacentral:rRNA from 1 species
UGAGUANAGUGCAAGAACUUGAAGAGAGAGUUCAAGAGUACGUGAAACUGCUCAGAGGCAAACGGGUGGGCCCUCGAAAUCCAGAUGCGAGGGGAUUCAGUCGGGAGGGGAAGGGGCCGGCGGGAGAUUUGCGACCGCGGAGGCGCGGUACGCCCGCCGGUGCGCCCCGUUCGUCCGACGCACUUCCCCUCGCACGGCGGACGCCGCAGCCGGUUCGGAGUCGGCCGUGAGGACGCGCGCCGGCAGUUGGCGGGAUGCCCGGCUCAGCCCGCGGUGCUCCCGUUGUUAGCCAGCGCGUCCGGGUCGAGACGCCGGACCGAGGCGAAGGGAUCCCUCCGGGGGUCCGGCCGUUCCCUCGUCCCCAGGAGUGCGGGAUUCGUCGAGUCAGGGGCCCGCUGUCGCGGGAGGAGCCACGUCCGUAACGUGGCCCUCCCCUUCGGCCCCUCGUUGGACUCCGAUUCUUACCGCGGCGAGAGCGUUCGGCUGGCGGCGAGUAGGUCGGUCACCCACCCGGCCCGUCUUGAAACACGGACCAAGGAGUCUAACAUGUGCGCGAGUCGCAGGGUCUUGAACAGGCCCGGGGGCGCAAUGAAAGUGAGAGGCGGCGCUUCC